rnacentral:rRNA from 1 species
AUUGAACGCUGGCGGCAUGCUUUACACAUGCAAGUCGAACGGCAGCGCGGGGGCGAACCCUCGGCGGCGAGUGGCGAACGGGUGAGUAAUAUAUCGGAACGUACCCAAGAGUGGGGGAGUAACGUAGCGAAGUUACGCUAAUACCGCAUACGAUCCAAGGAUGAAAGUAGGGGGAGUCGCAAGACCUCAUGCUCCUGGAGCGGCCGAUAUCUGAUUAGCUAGUUGGUGGGGUAAAGGCUCACCAAGGCGACGAUCAGUAGCUGGUCUGAGAGGACGACCAGCCACACUGGAACUGAGACACGGUCCAGACUCCUACGGGAGGCAGCAGUGGGGAA